rnacentral:rRNA from 1 species
UUAGAACGUCGUGAGACAGUUCGGUCCCUAUCUGCCGUGGGCGCUGGAGAACUGAGGGGGGCUGCUCCUAGUACGAGAGGACCGGAGUGGACGCAUCACUGGUGUUCGGGUUGUCAUGCCAAUGGCACUGCCCGGUAGCUAAAUGCGGAAGAGAUAAGUGCUGAAAGCAUCUAAGCACGAAACUUGCCCCGAGAUGAGUUCUCCCUGACUCCUUGAGAGUCCUGAAGGAACGUUGAAGACGACGACGUUGAUAGGCCGGGUGUGUAAGCGCAGCGAUGCGUUGAGCUAACCGGUACUAAUGAACCGUGAGGCUUAACCUUACAACGCCGAAG